rnacentral:rRNA from 1 species
GGCGCACGGGUGAGUAACACGUAUGCAACCUACCUUUAACAGGGGAGUAACCCGUUGAAAAACGGACUAAUACUCCAUAACACAGGGGUCCCGCAUGGGAAUAUUUGUUAAAGAUUUAUCGGUUGAAGAUGGGCAUGCGUUCCAUUAGCUUGUUGGUGAGGUAACGGCUCACCAAGGCUACGAUGGAUAGGGGAACUGAGAGGUUUAUCCCCCACACUGGAACUGAGACACGGUCCAGACUCCUACGGGAGGCAGCAGUGAGGAAUAUUGGUCAAUGGAGGCAACUCUGAACCAGCCAAGUCGCGUGAAGGAUGAAGGUCUUAUGGAUUGUAAACUUCUUUUGCAAGGGAAUAAAGUGGGGGACGUGUCCUCCUUUGCAUGUACCUUGCGAAUAAGGAUCGGCUAACUCCGUGCCAGCAGCCGCGGUAAUACGGAGGAUCCGAGCGUUAUCCGGAUUUAUUGGGUUUAAAGGGUGCGCAGGCGGGAUGUUAAGUCGGCGGUGAAAUUUUGCAGCUCAACUGUAAAAGUGCCUUCGAUACUGGCUUUCUUGAGUGUGGAUGAAGUAGGCGGAAUUUGUGGUGUAGCGGUGAAAUGCUUAGAUAUCACGAGGAACUCCGAUUGCGCAGGCAGCUUACUAAACCACUACUGACGCUCAUGCACGAAGGCGUGGGGAUCAAACAGGAUUAGAUACCCUGGUAGUCUACGCAGUAAACGAUGAUUACUAGUUGUUUGCGAUACAAUGUAAGCGACUGAGCGAAAGCGUUAAGUAAUCCACCUGGGGAGUACGUUCGCAAGAAUGAAACUCAAAGGAAUUGA